AGAAUCAACGCUGGCGGCGUGCCUAACACAUGCAAGUCGAACGAGAAAGUGGAGCAAUCCAUGAGUAAAGUGGCGCACGGGUGAGCAACACGUGACUAACCUACCCUUGAGUGGGGGAUAACCUAGAGAAAUCUGGGCUAAUACCGCAUAAUACCUUCGGGUCAAAGGAGCAAUUCGCUUUAGGAGGGGGUCGCGGCCGAUUAGUUAGUUGGCGGGGUAAUGGCCCACCAAGACUGUGAUCGGUA
rnacentral:rRNA from 1 species